rnacentral:rRNA from 1 species
CCUACGGGAGGCAGCAGUGAGGAAUAUUGGUCAAUGGGCGCGAGCCUGAACCAGCAAAGUCGCGUGAGGGAGGACGGCUCUACGGGUUGUAAACCUCUUUUGCCGGGGAGCAACGGGCGCCACGUGUGGCGUCACUGAGAGUACCCGGAGAAAAAGCAUCGGCUAACUCCGUGCCAGCAGCCGCGGUAAUACGGGGGAUGCGAGCGUUAUCCGGAUUUAUUGGGGUAAAGGGGUGCGUAGGCGGAUCGUUAAGUCAGUGGUCAAAUUGAGGGGCUCAACCCCUUCCCGCCAUUGAAACUGGCGUUCUUGAGUGGAAGAGAAGUAUGCGGAAUGCGUGGUGUAGCGGUGAAAUGCAUAGAUAUCACGCAGAACCCCGAUUGCGAAGGCAGCCUUCCGGCGCCCUACUGACGCUGAGGCACGAAAGUGCGGGGAUCGAACAGGAUUAGAUACCCCGGUAGUC